rnacentral:rRNA from 1 species
UACGAAGGGGGCUAGCGUUGUUCGGAAUUACUGGGCGUAAAGCGCACGUAGGCGGAUUGUUAAGUUAGGGGUGAAAUCCCAGGGCUCAACCCUGGAACUGCCUUUAAUACUGGCAAUCUCGAGUCCGAGAGAGGUGAGUGGAAUUCCGAGUGUAGAGGUGAAAUUCGUAGAUAUUCGGAGGAACACCAGAGGCGAAGGCGGCUCACUGGCUCGGUACUGACGCUGAGGUGCGAAAGCGUGGGGAGCAAACAGG